UUCUGGGCUGUGCCUGCCCUUGCACAAAGGGUUAUUUGUUUUACUGUUGUUCAUUUUUGUACAGCUCAGCUAGCACAUCCACUCCCUUGCACUACUGGCACUGUGUGUCUGAAUCAUUCUGCACAUACAUCUUCCCCUGCAGAGUGCCACAACACAUGCCUCCUCUUGUUUUUAAAUGUAGUACAGCCAGCAUCCUUAUCGGGUAUCUCCAGUGCUGCUGUUCUCAAAGACACAGCAACCCCAGUUUCAGGCAGCAAGUUGCUUUUACUCCUGGACCUGAUUUCCAGGCUUGUUGCUUCAGGAAUCUUGGAUGUUAAUCAUCUGGUAGGAAAGCUCUCUGCUUUUGAAGAUAUGCUGGUCCAGAUGUGCAGUCUGUUGACCUAUCUGGAUGCUUUUUAUGAAUUAAUAGAUAAAGUUUUAAUAUGUAUGAAAGAGUCUUUCACUUCCAGAAAUAAGCAUAAACAGAAAGCCAAACAUCCUACAGAUAGGCAAAAUCAUCUGAAGGAUUUUAUUAUGUGCUCUUCAUAUAACAGUGGCCUCUGAACCCUGCCCUCUGAAGCUUCCAUUUUUACAGCCUCAGCCACUGCUGCACACGCUGUGCUCUGUGGAAUGAAGCAAAACACAGGCCAGAAGGGAAAAAAAAGUUCUCCUUCUUGCAGCUUUCUUUGUUCCCUCAAGCACAAGGUAACAGAUAUCUACUUAAUCCUUUACAUGCUUGCAAGGCAUUACUUUCAGGAAGGCUUUUAUAAAUAAUACCUCCCCAAAGAGUAGUUAUAAAUGCAAUUACACAAACGUGAGGAGCUAAAUCUUUUUUCCAAGGUUACUUAGACAGCAUGUUUCUCUAGCAUGAGUGCCUUGCUCCAAACCUCUGGAUGUUUUAUAUGCUAUUGAGAAAACACUAGUGAUAUGUGAUCUCAUGCAACAGUCAGUUAACAAGCAAAAAACAAACAAACAAACAAACAAAAAAAAAAAACUAGUUACCAUGGUCUCUACACACGUUACUUCACUAUUUUUACAGGAAAGAACUGGUAAAGAAAAGCUGUGUACUUCAUGUACCUUUUUGACAACAGAGGAAUUCACCACAGAAGAUCUUCAUACAUUUGUAGCUCUGUAACUAUAGAUUUGGAUUUCUUUCAUACUUCUUUAAGCACAUACUCUUCAUUCAUAAAUUUCUUCAUUUAUCUCCCCAAGAAAAGCUUUUUUUCUUUUUUCUUAUUUUUAAAAUAUUUUAUUUUUACAGUGAGAAAAAUAUAUUUCAUCGACCCAAAUCUCAAAUAGCUCAAUAUUUUAAUUUAAUUUAAUUUAAUUUAAUUUAAUUUUAUUUUAUUUUAUUUUAUUUUAUUUUAUUUUAUUUUAUUUUAUUUUAUUUUAUUUUAUUUUAUUAUUUUAUUUCUUCUUAUUAUUGUUCCUGUUAUUUUUGUGAUGUUCCAAGAUGCUCACUUUUGGGAUGAAAACAAACCUGGAAAGUUGCCAUGCUAGGAAUGAGUGAUCUGUUUGGACUGUGUGAUUUUUACAACCCAAAGCCACUGCAGCUAAAAGUACUUUGAUAUGUGUACAUGCUUACAUUUCAAAGCACUGGAUGGCUUAUAUAAUAAUUCAAAAUGAUAUCAUCUAGACAACAAAUGGUCUAUAUUGUGUGCUUAUGUUCAUUAAGUAGUCAGUCCAAGAUUGAACAGUUGCUUCUAGCCUUCCUUGAUUUUGUGCCCUGCACUUUGUGGAAGUAGACUGCCUGCACUUAGUGUCCUGGUUGCCCGUCUCUGCAUGCAAACGCCAGUCAGCUUUGCUGCUUUUCGCUUACAGCAAUUUUCAAUGAGUGCUAAAGUAUUGCUUUAGGAGCUAGGGAAAGCUGUCAGAUCCCCUGUGAGAUUAAACGAACACACUUGCCAGAACAGAAAGGAAAACGAAAAUUUGCUUGUUCGGGGCAUGCAUGCUCUGGCUUGCUUCUGUCAGAAGAGCAGUUCUAUAGGUGCUAGCAGGAGAAAUGUGUUCAGGUUCAAGGAACUAUCUUUAUAUGUUUAGCAAAUUGUAAUUGCAGUGUAACCAGGUUAAAUUUUGAUAUAUUUUUCAGGGCACUUAUAUCCACAUAUGGACACACCACUCCUACCACCCAAGCUCAGGUCAAAUUGAAAUGGAAAAAUUUAAAUUUUUGCAGUCAGUUGUGAAAGGUAGGUGAUAGUUCUUACGCAAUCCCAAGUAUGUGGUAGUUUAGACCUACUGUUUUCUUCUUCUGAAGUCUGCCUAUGUCCUAAAGAGAAAUAUGCAGAAAUAUCCAUUCUAUUCUGAUGGUGUUUGUCAAUCCUAAUGUUUACUUAUUUAUCCAGAACUGCAGUACACACACACACACACACACACAAAUAAAUAAAUGAAAAAUAUUGUGGAUGCA
rnacentral:lncRNA from 1 species